rnacentral:rRNA from 1 species
CGACGAAUCUUCCACAAUGGGCGAAAGCCUGAUGGAGCGAUGCCGCGUGCGGGAUGAAGUCCUUCGGGAUGUAAACCGCUGUCAAGGUUUAGCAACUCAAUGAGCAAGCCUAAAGGAAGGGCCGGCUAACUCUGUGCCAGCAGCCGCGGUAAUACAGAGGGCCCGAGCGUUGCGCGGAAUCACUGGGCUUAAAGGGUGCGUAGGCGGGUCGGUCAGUGCUUCGUGAAAGCCCACGGCUCAACCGUGGAACCGCGGGGCAUACUGCCGAUCUUGAGGCUGGUAUGCGCCACCGGAACUGUAGGUGUAGCGGUGAAAUGCGUAGAUAUCUACAGGAACGCCGAUGGUGAAGACGGGUGGCUAGGCCAGUUCUGACGCUGAGGCACGAAAGCGUGGGGAUCAA